AGUGAACGCUGGCGGUAGGCCUAACGCAUGCAAGUCGAACGGCAGCACAGUAAGAGCUUGCUCUUACGGGUGGCGAGUGGCGGACGGGUGAGGAAUACAUCGGAAUCUACUUUUUCGUGGGGGAUAACGUAGGGAAACUUACGCUAAUACCGCAUACGACCUACGGGUGAAAGCAGGGGAUCUUCGGACCUUGCGCGAUUGAAUGAGCCGAUGUCGGAUUAGCUAGUUGGCGGGGUAAAGGCCCACCAAGGCGACGAUCCGUAGCUGGUCUGAGAGGAUAAUCAGCCACACUGGAACUGAGACACGGUCCAGACUCCUACGGGAGGCAGCAGUGGGGAAUAUUGGACAAUGGGCGCAAGCCUGAUCCAGCCAUACCGCGUGGGUGAAGAAGGCCUUCGGGUUGUAAAGCCCUUUUGUUGGGAAAGAAAAGCAGCAGGUUAAUACCCCGCUGUUCUGACGGUACCCAAAGAAUAAGCACCGGCUAACUUCGUG
rnacentral:rRNA from 1 species